UUAGUAAGGGGUGCUUAUUUAAGCUUUUGCAGUGUGAUUAUUGACAAACAGCUUGCUCUCUGGUGGUGUUUCAUGUGAGACAUGCCAAGAUCUUGAAAAUGAGGUUGAGGCUUAGGUUCUGUCACUGACCUGCUGAAUUCUAAAGCCUGGCAGUAAAGAGUGGGUCCCCUCCUACCCUUGAGGAGCCAAUAGUGUGGCCGGGGUGGAAGGACAUGGUACAGUGUGGACCCACACAUAAGGACACUGCCACUUGUUCAAGAGAAUGAGGCCAAGAGAAAAUGAUCCCUUUCUGGGACAGCUGCACUCAGUGACCACAUUGCCUCAAGAAUGUGUAUGGACCAGG
ensembl:lncRNA